AUUGAACGCUGGCGGCAGGCCUAACACAUGCAAGUCGAGCGGAAGCAGGGAGCUUGCUCCUGCAUUCAGCGGCGGACGGGUGUGUAAUGCCUAGGAAUCUGCCUGGUUGUGGGGGAUCACGUCCGGAAACGGGCGAUUAUACCGCAUACGCCCUGAGGGAGAACGGGGGGCCUCUUCGGACCUUUCGCUCUCAGAUCAGCCGAGGUCGCAGUAUCUAGUUGGCGGGGUAAAGGCGUACCAAGGCGACGAUCCGUAGCUGGUCUGAGAGUAUGAUCAGUCACACUGGGACUGAGACAAGGCCCAGACUCCUACGGGAGGCAGCAGUGGGGAAUUUUGGACAAAGGGCGCAAGCCUGAUCCAGCAAUGCCGCGUGAGGGAAGAAGGCCUUCGGGUUGUAAACCGCUUUUGGCAGGAACGAAACGGUGUCCGCUAAUACCGGGCGCUAAUGACGGUACCUGCAGAAUAAGCACCGGCUAACUACGUG
rnacentral:rRNA from 1 species